ACACUGGUGGUGAAGUGGUUAUCAUGCUUGCCUUCCAUAAUAGCCGACUAAGCAAAAGGCAGCAAGCGGCAAGGGUUCGAUUCCCUUCCAGUGUA
rfam:Phlebia centrifuga strain FBCC195 PHLCENscaffold_985, whole genome shotgun sequence.